rnacentral:tRNA from 1 species
CAGGCGCUGGCGGGCAAGGUGCGCAUCGGCCUUGCCGCCCUCGAGGAGAUCUUUUCCGAGGAAGGCCCGUUCGAUCCGGGUGCGACGGC